GGGUUGUGAGGUUAAGCGACUAAGCGUACACGGUGGAUGCCUAGGCAAUCAGAGGCGAUGAAGGACGUGCUAAUCUGCGAUAAGCGUCGGUAAGGUGAUAUGAACCGUUACAACCGACGAUUUCCGAAUGGGGAAACCCAGUGCAAUUCGUUGCACUAUCGUUUGAUGAAUACAUAGUCAAACGAAGCGAACCGGGGGAACUGAAACAUCUCAGUACCCCGAGGAAAAGAAAUCAACCGAGAUUCCCCUAGUAGCGGCGAGCGAACGGGGAGCAGCCCAGAGUCUUAAUCAGCAUUAGCAUCAGGAGAACGGUCUGGAAAGUCCGGCAGUAAAGGGUGAUAGCCCCGUAUCCGAAGGUGUUAGUGUUGUGAACUCGACGAGUAGGGCGGGACACGUGUUAUCCUGUCUGAAUAUGGGGGGACCAUCCUCCAAGGCUAAAUACUCCUGAUUGACCGAUAGUGAACCAGUACCGUGAGGGAAAGGCGAAAAGAACCCCGGCGAGGGGAGUGAAAUAGAACCUGAAACCGUGUACGUACAAGCAGUGGGAGCCCCAUCACUCAAGUGCCUCGGCAAUUGAGUGAGGGUGUAAAACCAUCACAAUAACAGCGCAGGAUUUGCCAACAAGAUUGGCUGAUUUUUUCAAGCCGCAGCGCAGUGGACAUCGAAGUCCAUGAGCAGCGGAAGUUAAAAAAUCGGGCAAGAUUGGCCGCAAAGACAAGCGGGACAUUUGAGGAUGGGGUGACUGCGUACCUUUUGUAUAAUGGGUCAGCGACUUAUAUUCUGUAGCAAGG
rnacentral:rRNA from 1 species